AGGCUUCCACCGGGCAGGAGUGAGGCUACGCGCGAGGGAGUGGAAAUCGUAUGUGGCGUAAAGGAGGAGCUGGGACCGAGAACGAGGUUGAAGAAAUGAAGAAAUUGCGCCUCGUCUCGUGAGGAUGCCUCGUCAGCUGGUAGAAGUGAGAAGAAACAAGAGGCAGGAGAAUGAAGAAUCUUGCGUGUUAAUUAAUUCGAUAUUUUCUUUAUUUAAUGUAACGAGCCGACGCACCGUCUCGUAACGACUACUCGAUAAUAUUAUCUUGGUCUGUAUGAUGUGAUAAUAAAACGUGAUGUGAAAAAGAGACGGAGA